CACGGGGGGAGCAAGCGUUGUUCGGAAUCACUGGGCGUAAAGGGCGUGCAGGCGGUCAGGUAAGUGGGAUGUGAAAUGCCCCGGCUCACCCGGGGACCGGCAUCUCAUACUGCUUGGCUUGAGUACGGGAGAGGAUGUGGGAAUUCCUGGUGUAGCGGUGAAAUGCGUAGAUAUCAGGAGGAACACCGGUGGCGAAGGCGGACAUCUGGCCCGAUACUGACGCUGAGGCGCGAAAGCUAGGGGAGCAAACGGG
rnacentral:rRNA from 1 species